GGUGGCCCUUUGAUUCUUGAUAUGAUGGUCACAUAAUCUUAUUUUGUUUUGCUGAAGAUUUAUGCAACCUCUUUUUGUUGAUCUUUUUUCUUUAAUCCAUAAUUUUUUCCUGAACCGUUUUUUCGAAGCUUUUAGUCCACCUGGAUUGCCCUAAUUUUUCCUAAGUCGCCUAUUUGGGUUUUCGAAUUAGCGGACUUUCUUUUUCUCUUUUUUUUUUUUACUGAAGGGUUGUGGCUGCC
rnacentral:lncRNA from 1 species